GACGAACGCUGGCGGCGUGCUUAACACAUGCAAGUCGAACGGAAAGGCCCUGCUUUUGUGGGGUGCUCGAGUGGCGAACGGGUGAGUAACACGUGAGUAACCUGCCCUUGACUUUGGGAUAACUUCAGGAAACUGGGGCUAAUACCGGAUAGGAGCUCCUGCUGCAUGGUGGGGGUUGGAAAGUUUCGGCGGGUGGGGAUGGACUCGCGGCUUAUCAGCUUGUUGGUGGGGUAGUGGCUUACCAAGGCUUUGACGGGUAGCCGGCCUGAGAGGGUGACCGGCCACAUUGGGACUGAGAUACGGCCCAGACUCCUACGGGAGGCAGCAGUGGGGAAUAUUGCGCAAUGGGCGGAAGCCUGAUGCAGCAACGCCGCGUGCGGGAUGACGGCCUUCGGGUUGUAAACCGCUUUCGCCUGUGACGAAGCGUGAGUGACGGUAAUGGGUAAAGAAGCACCGGCUAACUACGUG
rnacentral:rRNA from 1 species